rnacentral:rRNA from 1 species
AAGACCUUGCGCUUUUGGAGCGGGCGAUGCCUGAUUAGCUUGUUGGUAAGGUAAAAGCUUACCAAGGCUUCGAUCAGUAGCUGGUCUGAGAGGACGACCAGCCACACUGGGACUGAGACACGGCCCAGACUCCUACGGGAGGCAGCAGUGGGGAAUUUUGGACAAUGGGGGCAACCCUGAUCCAGCCAUGCCGCGUGAGUGAAGAAGGCCUUCGGGUUGUAAAGCUCUUUCAGCCGGAACGAAACGGUUACGGUUAAUACCCGUGAUUACUGACGGUACCGGAAGAAGAAGCACCGGCUAACUACGUGCCAGCAGCCGCGGUAAUACGUAGGGUGCGAGCGUUAAUCGGAAUUACUGGGCGUAAAGCGUGCGCAGGUGGUUUUGUAAGUCAGAUGUGAAAGCCCCGGGCUCAACCUGGGAACU